rfam:Rhodotorula graminis WP1 unplaced genomic scaffold RHOBAscaffold_22, whole genome shotgun sequence.
UCUUCGAUAGUAUAGUGGCUAGUAUAUUGCCUUGUCAACACGUUCAUUCGUCUCAACACGGCAGAGACCCGGGUUCAAUUCCCGGUCGAAGAG